rnacentral:rRNA from 1 species
GUGAACGCUGGCGGUAGGCCUAACCCAUGCCAGUCGAACGGCAGCACAGUAAGAGCUUGCUCUUACGGGUGGCGAGUGGCGGACGGGUGAGGAAUACAUCGGAAUCUACUUUUUCGUGGGGGAUAACGUAGGGAAACUUACGCUAAUACCGCAUACGACCUACGGUUGAAAGCAGGGGAUCUUCGGACCUUUCGCGAUUGAAUGAGCCGAUGUCGGAUUAGCUAGUUGGCGGGGUAAAGGCCCACCAAGGCGACGAUCCGUAGCUGGUCUGAGAGGAUGAUCAGCCACACUGGAACUGAGACACGGUCCAGACUCCUACGGGAGGCAGAAGUGGGGAAUAUUGGACAAUGGGCGCAAGCCUGAUCCAGCCAUACCGCGUGGGUGAAGAAGGCCUUCGGGUUGUAAAGCCCUUUUGUUGGGAAAGAAAAGCAGCAGGUUAAUACCCCGCUGUUCUGACGGUACCCAAAGAAUAAGCACCGGCUAACUUCGUG